GACGAACGCUGGCGGCGUGCCUAAUACAUGCAAGUCGAACGGACAGGCCCGGCUUUUGUUCUGUGCACGAGUGGCGAACGGGUGAGUAACACGUGAGUAACCUGCCCUUGACUGUGGGAUAACUUUUGGAAACUCUGGCUAAUACCGCAUAGGAGCUGCUGCUCCAUGGUGUUUGUUGGAAAGUUUCGGUGGUUUGGUUUGGACUGGCGGCUUCUUCGCUUGUUGGUGUGGUUGUGGCUUCCCAAGGCUUGGACGGGUAGCCGGCCUGAGAGGGUGACCGGCCACAUAGGGACUGGGGUGCGGCCCAGAGGGAUACGGGGGGCAGGAGUGGGGAAGAGUGCAGGAGGGGCGGAGGGCGGGUGCAGCAACGCCGCGUGCGGGAUGACGGUCGUAGGGGUGUAAAGCGCUUGCGCGUGUAACGAAGCGAGAGUGACGGUAACGGAUAAAGAAGGACCGGCUAACUACGUG
rnacentral:rRNA from 1 species